GACGAACGCUGGCGGCGUGCUUAACACAUGCAAGUCGAACGGAAAGGCCCUGCUUUUGUGGGGUGCUCGAGUGGCGAACGGGUGAGUAACACGUGAGUAACCUGCCCUUGACUUUGGGAUAACUUCAGGAAACUGGGGCUAAUACCGGAUAGGAGCUCCUGCUGCAUGGUGGGGGUUGGAAAGUUUCGGCGGUUGGGGAUGGACUCGCGGCUUAUCAGCUUGUUGGUGGGGUAGUGGCUUACCAAGGCUUUGACGGGUAGCCGGCCUGAGAGGGUGACCGGCCACAUUGGGACUGAGAUACGGCCCAGACUCCUACGGGAGGCAGCAGUGGGGAAUAUUGCACAAUGGGCGGAAGCCUGACGCAGCAACGCCGCGUGCGGGAUGACGGCCUUCGGGUUGUAAACCGCUUUCGCCUGUGACGAAGCGUGAGUGACGGUAAUGGGUAAAGAAGCACCGGCUAACUACGCG
rnacentral:rRNA from 1 species